ACGAGGAGCUUGCUCCUCUGAUGUUAGCGGCGGACGGGUGAGUAACACGUGGAUAACCUACCUAUAAGACUGGGAUAACUUCGGGAAACCGGAGCUAAUACCGGAUAACAUGUUGAACCGCAUGGUUCAACAGUGAAAGACGGUCUUGCUGUCACUUAUAGAUGGAUCCGCGCCGCAUUAGCUAGUUGGUAAGGUAACGGCUUACCAAGGCAACGAUGCGUAGCCGACCUGAGAGGGUGAUCGGCCACACUGGAACUGAGACACGGUCCAGACUCCUACGGGAGGCAGCAGUAGGGAAUCUUCCGCAAUGGGCGAAAGCCUGACGGAGCAACGCCGCGUGAGUGAAGAAGGUCUUCGGAUCGUAAAACUCUGUUAUUAGGGAAGAACAAAUGUGUAAGUAACUAUGCACGUCUUGACGGUACCUAAUCAGAAAGCCACGGCUAACUACGUGCCAGCAGCCGCGGUAAUACGUAGGUGGCAAGCGUUAUCCGGAAUUAUUGGGCGUAAAGCGCGCGUAGGCGGUUUUUUAAGUCUGAUGUGAAAGCCCACGGCUCAACCGUG
rnacentral:rRNA from 1 species